AAGCUAUUGAGGAUGGUAGCUGACUCUAUAGCCACUCCAUUUUUUCAUCAUUUUAAGAAAAAGGUUUGUCCUCAGACCCGGAGGGAAGCCAGAGUCCUUCCACUACCCAAGAAUGGCAAUCACAUGUACCUACGGGGGAAAGAUGGCCAGCCACACAGGAGGGUGAUUUUCACUAAGGAGGAGAAGGAGGCCAUGCUGACCGAGAUGCAUGCUGGCCAUUUCGGAGCGAAGCGCAUGAUUGCCAAAAUCAACCUACGCUUCUUCUGACAGGGAAUUGUCAAGGAGGUCAGUACCCUGUCUAGCCUGACAGAAGUUUGAGUGGGUGAAAACUGUGGCGCAGGAGUUGAAGCCCAUCAAAGUUUUCACCAUGGAAACUGAUCAGUAAGUUUCCCAAUUAAAAUGUUGCCUUGAUA